rnacentral:rRNA from 1 species
UACGUAGGGUGCGAGCGUUGUCCGGAAUUACUGGGCGUAAAGAGCUCGUAGGCGGUUUGUCGCGUCGUUCGUGAAAACUCACAGCUCAACUGUGGGCGUGCGGGCGAUACGGGCAGACUGGAGUACUGCAGGGGAGACUGGAAUUCCUGGUGUAGCGGUGGAAUGCGCAGAUAUCAGGAGGAACACCGGUGGCGAAGGCGGGUCUCUGGGCAGUAACUGACGCUGAGGAGCGAAAGCGUGGGGAGCGAACAGG